rnacentral:rRNA from 1 species
GACGAACGCUGGCGGCGUGCUUAACACAUGCAAGUCGAACGGAAAGGCCCCCUUGUGGGGUACUCGAGUGGCGAACGGGUGAGUAACACGUGAGUAACCUACCCUUGACUUUGGGAUAACUUCAGGAAACUGGGGCUAAUACCGGAUAGGAGCUCCUGCUGCAUGGUGGGGGUGGGAAAGUUUCGGCGGUUGGGGAUGGACUCGCGGCUUAUCAGCUUGUUGGUGGGGUAGUGGCUCACCAAGGCUUUGACGGGUAGCCGGCCUGAGAGGGUGACCGGCCACAUUGGGACUGAGAUACGGCCCAGACUCCUACGGGAGGCAGCAGUGGGGAAUAUUGCACAAUGGGCGGAAGCCUGAUGCAGCAACGCCGCGUGCGGGAUGACGGCCUUCGGGUUGUAAACCGCUUUCGCCUGUGACGAAGCGUGAGUGACGGUAAUGGGUAAAGAAGCACCGGCUAACUACGUG